rnacentral:rRNA from 1 species
UACAGAGGUCCCAAGCGUUGUUCGGAUUUACUGGGCGUAAAGGGCGCGCAGGCGGUCUUGAAAGUCAGGCGUGAAAGCCCCGGGCUUAACCUGGGAAUUGCGCUUGAUACUCUGAGACUGGAGUACGAGAGAGGAGAGUGGAAUUCCCAGUGUAGAGGUGAAAUUCGUAGAUAUUGGGAAGAACACCAGUGGCGAAGGCGGCUCUCUGGACCGUAACUGACGCUGAGGCGCGAAAGCGUGGGGAGCAAACAGG